CCUUCAAAGAAGAGGGGGUAUAUUGUUUUGCUCAUGUCGGUCUGUCGGUCAGUCCGUCCGUCCGUCCACCAGAUGUUUUCCGGAUGAUAACUCAAGAACGCUAAGGCCUAGGACCAUGAAACUUCAUAGGUACAUUGAUCAUGACUGGCAGAUGACCCCUAUUGAUUUUCAGGUCACUAGGUCAAAGGUCAAGGUCACAGUGACUCGAAAUAGUAAAAUGGUUUCCAGAUGAUAACUCAAGAACGCUUAGGCCUAGGAUCAUGAAACUUCAUAGGUAGAUUGAUCAUGACUGGCAGAUGACCCCUAUUGAUUUUCAGGUCACUAGGUCAAAGGUCAAGGUCACAGUGACUCGAAAUAGUAAAAUGGUUUCCGGAUGAUAACUCAAGAAUGCUUAGGCCUAGGAUCAUGAAACUUCAUAGGUAGAUUGAUCAUGACUGGCAGAUGACCCCUAUUGAUUUUCAGGUCACUAGGUCAAAGGUCAAGGUCACAGUGACUCGAAACAGUAAAAUGGUUUCCAGAUGAUAACUCAAGAAUGCUUAAGCCUAGGAUCAUGAAACUUCAUAGGUACAUUGAUCAUGACUGGCAGAUGACCCCUAUUGAUUUUCAGGUCACUAGGUCAAAGGUCAAGGUCACAGUGACCCGAAACAGUAAAAUGGUUUCCUGAUGAUAACUCAAGAAUAAUAAGGCCUAGGAUCAUGAAACUUCAUAGGUACAUUGAUCAUGACUGGCAGAUGACCCCUAUUGAUUUUCAGGUCACUAGGUCAAAGGUCAAGGUCACAGUGACAAAAAACGUAUUCACACAAUGGCUGCCACUACAACUGACAGCCCAUAUGGGGGGCAUGCAUGUUUUACAAACAGCCCUUG